UGGGGAAUAUUGCACAAUGGGCGCAAGCCUGAUGCAGCCAUGCCGCGUGUAUGAAGAAGGCCUUCGGGUUGUAAAGUACUUUCAGUCGGGAGGAAGGUGGUAAGGUUAAUAACCUUAUCAAUUGACGUUACCGACAGAAGAAGCACCGGCUAACUCCGUGCCAGCAGCCGCGGUAAUACGGAGGGUGCAAGCGUUAAUCGGAAUUACUGGGCGUAAAGCGCACGCAGGCGGUUGAUUGAGUCAGAUGUGAAAUCCCCGGGCUUAACCCGGGAAUUGCAUCUGAUACUGGUCAGCUAGAGUCUUGUAGAGGGGGGUAGAAUUCCAUGUGUAGCGGUGAAAUGCGUAGAGAUGUGGAGGAAUACCGGUGGCGAAGGCGGCCCCCUGGACAUAGACUGACGCUCAGGUGCGAAAGCGUGGGGAGCAAACAGG
rnacentral:rRNA from 1 species